rnacentral:rRNA from 1 species
CGUAGGUAACCUGCCCAUGUGUCCGGGAUAACUGCUGGAAACGGUAGCUAAAACCGGAUAGGUAUACAGAGCGCAUGCUCAGUAUAUUAAAGCGCCCAUCAAGGCGUGAACAUGGAUGGACCUGCGGCGCAUUAGCUAGUUGGUGAGGUAACAGCCCACCAAGGCGAUGAUGCGUAGCCGGCCUGAGAGGGUAAACGGCCACAUUGGGACUGAGACACGGCCCAA